rnacentral:rRNA from 1 species
GACGUAGGGCGCGAGCGUUGUCCGGAUUUAUUGGGCGUAAAGAGCUCGUAGGCGGCUUGUCGCGUCGGCUGUGAAAACCCGCGGCUCAACUGUGGGCGGGCAGCUGAUACGGGCAGGCUGGAGUUCGGUAGGGGAGAUUGGAAUUCCUGGUGUAGCGGUGAAAUGCGUAGAGAUGCGGAGGAACACCGAUGGCGAAGGCAGCCCCCCUGGGCUGACACUGACGCUCAGGCACGAAAGCGGUGGGGAGCAA